UCCCAAAGUGCUAGGAUUAUAGGUGUGAGUCACCAUACCUGGCCUUCAGAUGGUUUUAUAUUGCUCUUUAUGCUUAUUUGCAAUUUUAAUUUUCUGUGAUGAUCAUGUAUUAUUUUAAUUUCAUGUUUCCACAAUUAACAUGUAUUAUCUUUGCUUGCAAAUAGUUACAUAUGAUUACUUUUUAACAAUUUAAACAUAGAGAUAUAUAUAAAGUAAAAAAUAAAAGGAUCCCCCUUCCAUUUCCCAUCAGGCACUCUUAGGACAGUAACUGUUUGAAAGUAAAAAUAAGAAUAGGAUGCAGUGAUGGAUUCAAGAGUUAGACUAGGUAUGAUUUGGCAAAGACAGGAAAAGGGGAAGAAGUCAAGGAUGACUGAGUGAAUGGGAGAUUGGCAGUGUUUUAAUAGACACAGUUAGGAGAAAGGGUGAGAGGGAGGAACAAGAUAAAUUUUAUGUUGAGUUUGAAUUGGCUAUGGAAUAUCCUGAUGGAAUCCUCUGAGUAUUUGGUGGAAUUGUAGGCAUGGCAUAGGAAAGCAACUUCUUUGGAAGCAAUGGCAAAAGUAAUGGGGAUAGAUGAGGUUUUCAAUGAGGACACAGAGGGCAGAGGGUCAAGGACUAUGGUUCAGGAUUGUGGUAGGUUACAUUUUUAGGGUUUGAAGGAGGAAGGUGAACCAAUGAUGAGAGAAACAGGAGGAUUAAGUGCAGUGUAAAGGAUGACAGGAAAGAGAAAGCUUCAAGAAAAAAGUGGUAAGAGACAGGACAAACUGUGGGAAGCUGCUGUUGAAGUGCCUAUUAGAAUUUCCAGAGACUCUUAAGUGAGUGGGUCCUUUUAGAGCGAUGCUGUGAUUGCUGCUUUCAUAUUAACUUGAAUGUUUCUGCAGUGCAGGAGGCAAUGCCACUGCUUGGAGUCAGGUUAGGGGGUUGAAAAUAGAGCUAUACAUGCAAGUUCAGAAGAGCCAAGCGGGGAAUUUCAUCAGCAGUGAGGGGCCAGCAUUGGAAAACAGCGUUGAAACUGAGUUCAGUCAGCAUGGUUUGAGAACUUUAAAAAAAGGUUGUUAAAUAGUGUUUCCAGGGGCUGGAAAGUGGCAAGGCAGUUUCAGUGGGCAGUCAAGGAGUUGAGGGAGGGGCUGAGGCCAGGCAGGAUGGGCUGAAAGAAAGAGUGGGUGAUUAUCGCCAGAGAUAGGCUGAAAAGGCCUCAACUAUGACCUCAACCGGCCAGGAUUCCACCACAACCAGGCAGCAAAGAAGUAGGCAGAACCUCCAGUCAUCCCCUCAGGACUCCAGUGUCACUUCAAAGCGAAACAUUGAAAAGGGAGCCAUUCCCCGCUCCAUCCCUAAUCUAGCGGAGGUAAAGAAGAAAAGCAAAAUGAAGGAGGUCAGCCAAGCAAUUGAAGAAGACCUAAUCAUGGGACUGCAAGGGAUGGAUCUGAACCUUGAGGCUGAAGCACUGGCUGGCACUGGCUUGGUGCUGGAUGAGCAGCUAAAUGAAUUCCAUUGCCUCUGGGAUGACAGCUUCCCAGAAGGCCCUGAGCGGCUCUAUGCCAUCAGGGAUCAACUGAUCCGGGAGGGCCUCCUAGGUUUCUGCGUGUCCUUUCAGGCCCGGUUUGCCGAAAAGGAAGAACUGAUGUUCAUAGCCUAGAAUAUAUUGAUCUGAUGGAAACAACCCAGUACAUGAAUGAGGGAGAACUCCGCGUCCUAGCAGACAUCUGUGACUCAGUUCAUCUUCAUCCGAAAUCAUACUCCUGUGCCUGCCUGGCCUUGGGCUCUGUCCUCAGGCUGGUGAAUGUGGUCCUGGGGACUGAAAUCUGGAAUGGCAUGGUCAUCAUUAGGCCUCCUGGACAUCACGCCCAGCACAGUCUCACAGAUGGCUAUUGCAUGUUCAACCACGUGGCUGUGGCAGCUCGCUACGCUCAACAGAAACAAUGCAUCCGGAUGGUCCUUAUCGUGGAUUGGGAUGUGCAUCACAGUCAAGGAACACAGUUCACCUCUGAUCGGGACCCAAGUGUCCUCUAUUUCUCCAUCCACUGCUAUGAGCAGGGUUGGUUCUGGCCCCACUUGCAGGCCUCUAACUGGUCCACAACAGGUUUUGGCCAAGUCCAAAGGUAUACCAUCAAUAUGCCUUGGAACCAGGUGGGGAUUUGGGAUGCUGACUACAUUGCUGCUUUCCUGCACAUCCUGCUGCCAGUUGCCCUUGAGUUCCAGCCUCAGCUGGUCCUAGUGGCUCUGGAUUUGAUGCCCUGCAAGGGGACCCCAAGGAUGAGAUGGCUGCCACUCCAGCAGGGUUUACCCAGCUAACCCACCUGUUCAUGGGUCUGUCAGGAGGCAAGCUGAGCCUGUCUCUGGAGGGUGGCUACAACCUCUGCACCCUGGCUGAAGGCAUCAGUGCUUCACUCCACACCCUUGUGGGAGACCCUUGCCCCAUGCUGGAGUCCCCAGGUACCCCCCGCCGGAGUGCCCAGGCUUCAGUCUCCUGUGCUCUGGAAGCCCUUGAGCCCUUCUGGGAAGUUCCUGUGAGAUCAGCUGAGACCAUGGAGGGGGACAGCAUGGAGGAGGACAAUGUAGAGGAGAGAGGAGGAAGUACCCUGGGAGUCCUCUGUGCUCCCAAUCCUGACAUGGCCAGUGCUACAGUCUCACACAGGGCUGGUCUAUGACCAACGUAUGAUGAAUCACUGUGACUUGUGGGACAGCCACCACCCCGAGGUACCCCAGCACAUCUUGCAGAUCAUGUGCCAUCUGGAGGAGCUGGGCCUUGCCAGGAGCUGCCUCACCCUGCCACUGCACCUGCUGCACCCUGCCACAGAGGCUAAGCUGUUUACCUGCCACAGUGCUGAGUAAGUAGCUCAUCUCCAGGCUGCAGAGAAGAUGAAAACUCGGGAGCUGCACAGUGAGAGUUCUAACGUUGACUCCAUCUACAUCUGCCCCAGCACCUUUGCCUGUGCACAGCUUGCCACUGGCACUGCCUGCCGCCUGGUGGAGGCCGUGCUCUCAGGAGAGGUUCUGAAUGGUGCUGCUGUGGUGCAUUCCCCAGGACACCAUGUGGAACAGGACGCAGCUUGAGGUUGUUGCUUUUUCAACUCCAUGGCUGUGGCUGCUUGCCAUGCCUAGGCUAUCAGUGGGUGUGCCCUGCAGAUCCUGAUCGUGGAUUGGGAUGUCCACCAUGGUCAUGGAACUCAGUACAUGUUUGGGGAUGACCCCAGUGUGCUCUGUGUGUCCCUGCACCGCUAUGAUCACAGCACCACCUUCCCCAUGGGAGAUGAGGGUACCAGCAGCCAAAUCGGCCAGGCUGUGGGCACAGGCUUCACCAUCAAUGUGGCAUGGAAUGGGCCCUGCAUAGGUGAUGGUGCCUACCUAGCCACCUGGCAUCGCCUGGUGCUUUCCGUUGCCUACAAGUUUAACCUAGAACUGCUGCAGGUCUCAGCUGGCUUUGACACUGCACAGGGGACCUGCUGGGGGGGGCUGCCAGGUGUCACCUGAGGGUUAGGCCCACCUCACCCACCUGCUGAUGGGCCUUGCCAGUGGCAGCAUUAUCCUUAUCCUAGAAGGUGGCUAUAACCUGACAUCCAUCUCAGAGUCCAUGGCUGCCUGCACUUGCUCCGUCCUUGAAGACCCCCCAUCCCUGCUGACCCUGCCAUGGCUCCUACUAUCAGGGGCCCUGGCCUCAAUCACUGAAACCAUCCAAGUCCUUCACAGAUACUGGUGCAGCUUAUGGGUCAUGAAAGUAGAAGACAAAGAGGGACCCUCCAGUUCUAAGUUGAUCACCAAGAAGGCACCCUAACCAGCCAAACCUAGAUUAGCUGAGUGGACGACCACAUGAGAAAAGAAGGUUCUGGAAGCAGGCAUGGGGAAGGUCAUCUCAGCAUCAUCUGGGAAAGAGUCUACUCCAGGCCAGACUAAGUCAGAGACAGCUGUGGUGGCACUCACUCAGGACCAGUCCUCAGAGGCAGCCACACUGGCCCAGACCACCUCAGAGGAGGCUGUCGAGGGAACCACGCUGGGCCAGACUACCUCAGAGGAGGCUGUAGGAGGAGCUACACUGGCCCAGACCACCUCAAAGGCAGCCAUGGAGGGAGCCACACUGGACCAGACUACAUCAGAAGAAGCUCUAGGGGGCACUGAGCUGAUCCAGACUCCUCUAGCCUCGAGCACAGACUACCAGACCCCUUCAACCUCACCUGUGCAGGGAACUACACCCCAGAUAUCUUCCAGUGCACUGAUUGGGAGUCUCAGGACCUUGGAGCUAGGCAGCAAAUCUCAGGGGACCCCAGAAUCUCAGGCCCCAGAGAGGAGAACCUAGGAGAGGCAGCUGGAGGUCAGGUCAUGGCCGAUUUGAUGCUGAUGCAGGAAUCUAGGGGCCUCACUGACCAGGCCAUAUUUUAUGCUGUAACACCACUGCCCUGGUCCCCGUUUGGUGGCAGUAAGCCCCAUACCUGCGGCAGGCCUGGACGUGACCCAACCUUGUGGGGACUGCGGAACAAUCCAAGAGAAUUGGGUGUGUCUCUCUAUCAGGUCUACUGUGGUCAUUACAUCAAUGCCCACAUGCUCCAACACCACAGAAACUCUGGACACCCACUGGUCUUCAGCUACAUCGACCUGUCGACCUGGUGUUAUUACUGUCAGGCCUGUGUCUACCACCAGACUCUCCUAGAUGUGAAGAACAUCAUCCACCAGAACAAGUUUGCCCCACCCACACUAAGCCCCAGAAUACACUCCCUCUUCACCGUCUGAGGCCCACGAUAGACCAGCUGUAGUCAUUCCAGCCUGUACCUUGGAUGAGGGGUAGCUCCCACUGCAUCCCAUCCUGAAUAUCCUUUGCAGCUCCCCAAGAGUGCUUAUUUCAGUAUUAAUACUUUUAAGAGAACUGUGACGACUAAUUGUGGAUCUCCCCCUGCCCACUGCCUGCUUGCGGGGCACCACUACUUCAGCCCAGAAGGAAAGUGAGGCAGCUCAGUGGCCCCCAAGAGGGAGCUGAUAUGAGGAUCACAUUGGCGGUGGGGUGGAGGGACGGGGAGUUAACUUGCAGCAUGGCAAGGUUACAUAUAUAAUAAAGUACAAGCUGCUACAAAACGUGAAAAAAGGAAGAGUUGAGGGGCUCCAGGGUGCUUGCAAGAGAAGAGGCUUCAAUGCCUGGCAUUGAGCCCCACUGGGCAGUAAGGUGAAUGAAAUUAGGAAGUGUGUGAGGCCCUUAUCCAGAAGAAAUUAAAAUCCAGGAGAAAGGGCAAAUGAUUGGCUGUCAGGAUAAGGGCAAGGAUAUAUUUAGCCGGCGGGAGCAUGUGCACAAGCAAGGACUACCCAAAGGAGGGAAUUUCAGGGUUUUGGACUUUUUAGCUGGGGCAGUUUACAGUAUUGUGAUUUCCCAGGUAUUAAAGUAGAAUGGGGAUGAAAUUUCUGGGGUUCCACAGAUCUGGGAGGUUUUAAGUCAGUGCUGAAAGAUCAUCAAUAUGUAUUUUUAAAAUUAUUUAAGUCUACGUUGUCCCAAAUAGUAUGCAAAACGGGUAAUAGUAUACCAAUUUACAGAUAUGAAAUGAGUCCCUAGAAGUGUUUAAUAAACUUGUCUGGAAUCAUCCAUGUAGUAUUUGGUGAAGGAAAAAAAAAGAGUUUGGUAUAUCAAGAACUGCUUGAACCAGGGAGG